rnacentral:lncRNA from 1 species
GCCUUUAGCGAUAAACAGUGUAGUCUAUGGUGUUCUUGAGCCUUCAAGAACAUUCAUAGUCAGCUUCGGGUUAGCUAGUUUGACCAAGAACACUGAUCCGAUCAAGAUGUUUCUGGGCUAUAAGUUGUGCAGAUCGUGUAGUAAAAGUGUCAGACUACAUGAUCCAAGAACAAACAUGAACAGACAACAUAUCAUGAAAGAGAUAUAAUCGUCCAAAGUGGCUGUCAGAGCUGUUCUUUCAUUUCUGGGUUGCCCAGAAAUGAAGAACAGUAUGACUGGCCUACUUUGGGCUUUCACAACUUGAAAUUCGUAUAAUGUUUUAGUGAUUUAAAGGUUGAAGUGUGUAGCCAACAUAACAAGGAAGAGAUUCAUUACAUAAAAGAAACAUAACAACAACAGAUCAAGCAUAUAUAUGUCGGUCAAACCAUGUCAGACGACAUGCUCAAGCGUUUUCUGGGUUACCCAGAAAACAGCUUCCAUGUUCGUCUGGCCUAGUUUGACCGUCCACUGUAAUCAUUAAGUGUGAUUUUUAAGUGAUAUAAAGGUACAAUAAUGUAGUCUAAUCAACAUACUACGACUUAGAUCCAUCAACAAUAACAAAUCAACAACAAAAAGUCAGAUCAGUGGCCACAAAUUCCAUGUCAGACUGUUCUGGGGACACCUGGGUUACCCAGAAACUUUGCAAGUCAUGGUCGGUCAAUGCAGUUUGACCUUCCAUAACUUUCAAUCCACAUAUGAUCUAAGCCUGAUUUCAAGCUCAAAUCAAAGAGCACAUAUCCGACUACAACGACAAAGUUUCAAAACACAAAAAGCCUUAAAGAUCACAGAGAUACAAGGCCUGACAUUCGUUAUCAGAAAACAAAACCAAAAUUUUCCAGAUUUUGUAAAUCUUCAAAUCUGAGCCUCUAGAUGUUAUGGAUCUAACAUUUAGCAACCCAGAUCAUCAUUAGACACCUUAUAUAACAUGUUUAACAAAAAAAAUCUAACAUCAAACAACA